AAAGUCGUAACAAGGUUUCCGUAGGUGAACCUGCGGUUGGAUCAUUAAUAAAUUUAUUAAAGGUAAUUGGUUUGAAAGAACCUUUUAUUCUUUAAACAAAUUUGUGAACCUUUACUUUUCAUCAAGGUUAAACUUGGUGGGAAUUAUCUUCAACCAUUAUUUUAAACUUUGUCUUUAAACCUUUUAAUUAAAUUUAAAAAACAACUUUUGACAACGGAUCUCUUGGCUCUC
rnacentral:misc_RNA from 1 species